rnacentral:rRNA from 1 species
GAUGAACGCUGGCGGCGUGCUUAACACAUGCAAGUCGAACGAUGAAGCCCAGCUUGCUGCUUGGAUUAGUGGCGAACGGGUGAGUAACACGUGAGUAACCUGCCCUUAACUCGGGGAUAAGCCUGGGAAACGGGGUCUAUUACCCGAUAGGAGCGUCCACCGCAGGGUGGGUGUUGCGAAGAUUUAUCGGUUUUGGAUGGACUCGCGGCCUAUCCGCGUUGUGGGGGGGUAAUGGCUCACCAAGGCCAAGACGGAUAUCCGGCCUGAGAGGGUGAACGGGGACCAUGCGCCUGAGACAGGGACCAGAGUCCAAUGGGAGGCAGUAGGGGGGAACAUUGUACAGUGGGGGCAAGCCUGAUGAAGAGACGCCGGGUGAGGGAUGAAGGUUUUCGGGUUGUAAACCUCUUUAAGUAGGGAAGAAGCGAAAGUGACGGUACCUGCAGAAGAAGCACCGGCUAACUACGUG